rnacentral:rRNA from 1 species
AUUGAACGCUGGCGGCAGGCCUAACACAUGCAAGUCGAGCGAGCGGCGGACGGGUGAGUAAUGUAUGGGGACUGCCCGAUAGAGGGGGAUAACUACUGGAAACGGUAGCUAAUACCGCAUACUAUCGGAUAACCCAUAUGGGAUUAGCUAGUAGGUGAGGUAAUGGAUCACCUAGGCGACGAUCCCUAGCUGGUCUGAGAGGAUGAUCAGCCAAACUGGGACUGAGACACGGCCCAGCCUCCUACGGAGGCAGCAGGGGGGAAUAUGGCACAAUGGGCGCAAGCCUGAUGCAGCCAUGCCGCGUGUAUGAAGAAGGCCCGAGGGGUUUAAAGUACGUUCAGUCGGGAGGCGUUACCGACAGAAGAAGCACCGGCGAACUCCGUGCCAGCAGCCGCGGUAAUAC